rnacentral:rRNA from 1 species
AUGAAUAUCGCGCUUCUCUCCCGCUGGCUUUGGCGCAUCUCGCAAGGGCAUGGUGGCCUAUGGCUUGACAUCAUUCGAAACAAAUACUUGCGCGGUCAGCCCCUCGCCUUCUGCCAGAAGUCUGGCGGAUCUCACUUCUGGCAAUCGAUUGUCCAGCUUCUCCCGGUCCUUCGCAUCGGGACCUCCAUCUCGGUCGGCUCCGGGGCGGCGACGCUGUUCUGGUUUGAUCGCUGGGCCGGGGACACCCCCUUUGCGGCUCGCUUCCCUGGCCUCUUCUCCAUCUCCGUGGACCCCGUGAUAUCUGUAGAAAGGGCCCUUCUUGACCUAGGGCGCCUUGCUUUCCGGCGGGCCUUUGGCCCCUUGGAAUCCGCCGCCUGGCGUGUGUUGCUUGACUGUGUUGCUUUCCAUGAACCGGUUGUGGACGGUGGCCCUGACCUGGUGCGCUGGCGACUCGACCCUUCGGGCCAAUUUUCCACCAAGUCGCUUUACCUGGCCAUCGCCCCCUCCUCCGCCCUCCCCCUAUUGACAGUGUGGUCCAUCCGCCGGCCCCUGAAGAUCUGUAUCUUCAUGUGGCAAUGGAUUCGCGGUCAGGUCCCGUCCGGGGUGGAGGUGCGUAAGCGAAAUGGCCCGGGUACUGGCAUUUUCCCACUUUGUGGGGUCCCCGAAGACUUGAACCACAUCUUCUUCGCCUGCGUGUCCGCUCAGUUCCUCUGGAGCUGCUUUCACGAAGCGGUCGGUGGAAAUUGGUGCCACACCAACUUCCCGGACUUAUUUGCCGAACUCCAGAUGUCCCCCUUGUCUUCUCGCCACAUUAGGUGGCUUGAGAUUGGGGUCCUCGCCUGGACCCUCUGGACGAUGCGCAAUAAGCUUGUGAUUCAACGCACUCCUCUUCGACGGGCUACUGACGCGAUCUUCAAACUUUCGGGUUUCUUGCAGCUUUGGUGGCCGCUUAGCCGUCCUCCCGACCGCGACGCCAUCUCCGCCUUCAUCGCCGACCUCCGUUCGAUGGUUGUCCGUCUGUCGCCACCGCCCCCGCCGCCGGAACCAGACUAG